rnacentral:rRNA from 1 species
AUUGAACGCUGGCGGCAGGCCUAACACAUGCAAGUCGAGCGAGCGGCGGACGGGUGAGUAAUGUCUGGGGAACUGCCUGAUGGAGGGGGAUAACUACUGGAAACGGUAGCUAAUACCGCAUACCAUCAGAUGUGCCCAGAUGGGAUUAGCUAGUAGGUGGGGUAACGGCUCACCUAGGCGACGAUCCCUAGCUGGUCUGAGAGGAUGACCAGCCACACUGGGACGGAGACACGGCCCAGACGCCUACGGGAGGCAGCAGUGGGGAAUAUUGCACAAUGGGCGCAAGCCUGAUGCAGCCAUGCCGCGUGUAUGAAGAAGGCCGUAGGGUUGUAAAGCACUUUCAGUGGGGAGGCGUUACCCGCAGAAGAAGCACCGGCUAACUCCGUGCCAGCAGCCGCGGUAAUUC